CAGCUCAUCGUUCCAUCGAAUGCGAUAUUCGCCGUAACCAACGCGCAAAGGACCAUAAAUCUUUCGCAGAACUUUUCUCUCGGAAACUCGCAACGUUGACUCAUCAGUUGUUGUCAUCGUCCAGGCCUCUGCACCAUAUAGCAGGACGGGUAUUAUGAGUGACUUAUAGAGUUUGGUUUUUGUUCGUCGAGAGAGGACUUUGCUUCUCAAUUGCCUACUCAGUCUGGAGUAGCAUCUGUUGGCAAGAGUUAUCCUGCGUUGGAUUUCCAGGCUGACGUUGUUGGUGUUAAUACUGGUUCCUGAAUAGACGAAAUUAUCUACAACUUCUAAGUUAUGUUUGUCAACAGUGACGUGAGAGCCAAGUCGCUAGUGCGACGACUGUUUGUUUGAUGACAGGAGAUCACUUAUUCUAUCGAAUGUAAAUGCAAAAUCGAUGGCGAUUUUCCAAAAAAUUCCUCCGUUAGAACCUUAUGCGAGUAUAAACGAAUAAUUGUCAAAAUUUUCUGGUCCUUCCUUGCUGUGGCUCAUUUUUAUGUAUAAGAUAUCUCGUACAUUCAUUUGUACAUGCAGGUAUGUACAGUAUAAUUCCCUAAUACGGAUAGUCCCCAUGACCGAACAGCUCCCAUAACCGAACAAAUUUCAUGAACACAACGUAUACAUAUAUUGGCCAUGACUGCAUUCUAAUGACCGGACACGAAAUAAGUGACAUUUCGUGCAAAUUAUCUCUGAUAAACGGACAAGAUUUCGCAAAUUGUGUAAAGAAAAUUGUUUACAAUUUGUAGUUUCUGUUUGUUUAUUUAUUCUUAACUGUUGUUAACAAUUCAAGUAUAAAAAUACAUUGUAAACACACGUUUUUGUCAACACACGCCCUCAUAUGUGAACAACAACCAAGCAACAGGCGGGUGUCCAUUUAUAAGGAAUUCCAGUGUAUAUGUACAACUUUGCCUGCAAUUAAUUCCCAUAAUACAUUAGGCGAAUAAAAUACGUUAUUAUGGAAAACAAAUAUAAACCGCAUUUAUUUAUAUGUUUAUCAAAAACUUUUACUUUUGCGAAUUUCAAUAUCGAUGAGAUUAUAUUUUCGCCUAUCGCUAGGUUAUGGAAUAAUUAUGAAAAUGAAGAAUUCGCCAAGUGGUAAUUGCGCCAAAAACAGCAAGCAGUUAAAACGCGAGAUCUAUGCAAAAAACUGCUGAAAGGUUCACCAAUACACUUAAAAGGAACACCGACGAAUUAUAAUACUUACUAUAGUAUACAUACAUAUCGAUGAAAGAAAUGAAGUCCUUAGUACGGUCACCACAAACGGUCCAAUGAUCGUUAAAAUAAUGGUCAAUUUAGAUGUGAAACACAAAUACUUACAAACACUUUUGUUAAAACAAAUUUACUAAGCGUCAGCGGCAGCAUACACUUCCACAGUAGUUUCGGCUAGUUGUGCAAUAUAAAAAUUGCUGUUAUUCCUUGCGAUAGACGGAAACCAAACGCGUUUCAUGCUUCCAUACAACAUCUUUUUUUUGCUUUAUUUUGAAAAGGAUUUUAUUUGGAAGGGAGAAGUCUUCGUGUAUUAUAUGCUUGUAUUUCAACUACAAGGAAGCCCUUCACAAGGCAGCUAACAAGCGAACUCAGUUAGAUUGCCAUAUGACGGACCGGCUUGUAAUUUACUUGCAGUUUUCUAAGCACCUUGAACACUUCCUCUCAACUCCGACUUAAAAACACGAAUGAGUAUAAGUUGGUCCUUAUAUGUUUUUGUUGUUCAAAAGGUCUAUGUACAGAGUAGGCGGCGAUUUAUCAGCAAAACCACGCCUGCGCACUUUGCCGAAGUCUAACUGUGUGCGCAUUGGCUUAUCGGUUAAGUGCUAACCACAAGCGCAGAUGCUACGAAUUCCCUCUGCGAAUGCCCACUUACAUGUGUAUGUAUGCGUGAGUAUAACUGUGCAUACCACGAAGUAAGGAUGAUAAAAUGGAGCUAAAUGCUUUAAAUCAAACUUAUAGAAAUAAUUCCAAAUGCUUGUUUCCACACAUAAUAUGGUAUGUGUGUAUUUAUGUAUGUAAUUAUAAAAACAAUAAAGAAUACAUGUAUACUGAUAUCUUAAGCCACAUGCAUUCACAUUCCACACAUGUCUAUGUAUGGAUGUGUGCAUGCCCGCCAAAAAACCCAGUAACGCAUACAAUCUGGAGCUUAUCGCCAGUGGCCAACACAGAAUUUAAUAAAAUUAUAUCUAAAUAUACGCGCAUGCUUGUAUAGACACAUAUGUAUGCACAUAUGCAUAUCUACUGUAUAUAAUGUGGACGUUUAUGCGAGUAAUCUUGCAUUUAAAAUUGUUAAUUAUAAUAUUCUUUUACAAUCCAAGUUAAUAAAUUUUGAAAAGUUAAAAUAUAUAUUUCUAGAGCAUCGAUUCAGUUUUUUAUACUAUUGCAACAUCUUGCUAAAACUAAUUGAGGUAAGUAUAGAGUUACAUAUACAGUAAACUUCCCCAAUAUGGAUAGUCCUCAUAACCGCACAGCUCCCAUAACUGGACAAAUUUCAUGAACAC